AAGUCGUAACAAGGUUUCCGUAGGUGAACCUGCGGAAGGAUCAUUAACACGUUAUCCACGUAUCUACCUCUUGCGAACUUUUUACUGUUCAGGAGUCGACAGACCAGCGGUAGGUAGAUGUUACUAUGUCCAGGUGGCCGACGCCCCUGGUUCUACCUGCCCCCUAGCCCUAGCCAACGGUGUGGCUUGGGUUUUCUGGUUCGUAUGACUCGAAUCAUAGUAGUUUUUAUUCUUAUUCACCCUUUUUUACUAAAUUUGUUGAAUUGUGAUGGUCUCGGAGGUAACACUUCGUAGCACUCACGUAAAUAAAACACUAUACAACUCUUAGCAACGGAUAUCUCGGUUCUCC
rnacentral:misc_RNA from 1 species